rnacentral:rRNA from 1 species
UACGGGGGGGGCAAGCGUUGUUCGGAAUUACUGGGCGUAAAGGGCUCGUAGGCGGCCAACUAAGUCAGACGUGAAAUCCCUCGGCUUAACCGGGGAACUGCGUCUGAUACUGGAUGGCUUGAGAUUGGGAGAGGGAUGCGGAAUUCCUAGUGUAGCGGUGAAAUGCGCAGAUAUUAGGAGGAACACCGGUGGCGAAGGCGCUGCUCUGGGCCGAUACUGACGCUGAGGAGCGAAAGCGUGGGUAGCAAACAGG